rnacentral:rRNA from 1 species
AACGCGAAGAACCUUACCUAGACUUGACAUCUCCUGAAUUACCCUUAAUCGGGGAAGCCCUUCGGGGCAGGAAGACAGGUGGUGCAUGGUUGUCGUCAGCUCGUGUCGUGAGAUGUUGGGUUAAGUCCCGCAACGAGCGCAACCCUUAUUGUUAGUUGCUACCAUUUAGUUGAGCACUCUAGCGAGACUGCCCGGGUUAACCGGGAGGAAGGUGGGGAUGACGUCAAAUCAUCAUGCCCCUUAUGUCUAGGGCUACACACGUGCUACAAUGGCUGGUACAGAGAGAUGCUAAACCGUGAGGUGGAGCCAAACUUUAAAACCAGUGUCAGUUCGGAUUGUAGGCUGAAACUAGCCUACAUGAAGCUGGAGUGGCUAGUAAUCGUGAAUCAGAAUGUCGCGGUGAAUACGUUCCCGGGCCUUGUACACACCG